rnacentral:rRNA from 1 species
UGGGGAAUCUUGGACAAUGGGGGCAACCCUGAUCCAGCCAUGCCGCGUGAGUGAUGAAGGCCUUAGGGUCGUAAAGCUCUUUCGCCUGUGAAGAUAAUGACGGUAACCGUAGAAGAAGCUCCGGCUAACUCCGUGCCAGCAGCCGCGGUAAUACGGAGGGAGCUAGCGUUGUUCGGAAUUACUGGGCGUAAAGCGUACGUAGGCGGCUUGGUAAGUAGAGGGUGAAAUCCCAGAGCUCAACUCUGGAACUGCCCCCUAAACUGCUGAGCUAGAAUCCUGGAGAGGUGAGUGGAAUUCCUAGUGUAGAGGUGAAAUUCGUAGAUAUUAGGAAAGAACACCAGUGGCGAAGGCGACUCACUGGACAGGUAUUGACGCUGAGGUACGAAAGCGUGGGGAGCGAACAGGAUUAGAUACCCUGGUAGUCCACACCGUAAACGAUGAAUGCCAGUCGUCGGGUAGCAUGCUAUUCGGUGACACACCUAACGGAUUAAGCAUUCCGCCUGGGAGUACGGUCGCAAGAUUAAAAGC